rnacentral:rRNA from 1 species
CUACGGGUCGCAGCAGUGAGGAAUAUUGGGCAAUGGAGGCAACUCUGACCCAGCCAUGCCGCGUGCAGGAAGACGGCCCUCUGGGUUGUAAACUGCUUUUGUUUGGGAAUAAACCCUUCUACGUGUAGGAGGCUGAAGGUACCUUACGAAUAAGCAUCGGCUAACUCCGUGCCAGCAGCCGCGGUAAUACGGAGGAUGCAAGCGUUAUCCGGAUUUAUUGGGUUUAAAGGGUCCGUAGGCGGGUCUUUAAGUCAGUGGUGAAAGCCCACAGCUCAACUGUGGAACUGCCAUUGAUACUGGAGAUCUUGAGUGUAGUAGAAGUAGGCGGAAUAGGGCAUGUAGCGGUGAAAUGCAUAGAUAUGCCCUAGAACACCGAUUGCGAAGGCAGCUUACUAUGUUACAACUGACGCUGAGGGACGAAAGCGUGGGGAGCAAACAGGAUUAGAUACCCCAGUAGUC